GGCAGCAGCGGCGCGGCGCUCCUCCGCGCGCGCCGUUCGUGCUCCGUGGUGGUGGGAGGGCGGCGGUGCUUGCGGCGGGGGGGUGGGCGUCCCGUGCUCCGGCCAUCUUUGGCCCGCGCGAUGCGCUUCGCCUCCAAAUCUGGCGGGUUGGGCCGCUGCCUGCGGUGCCUCACGGCGUUCGUGGCGGCUGGUCGUUCCCCCGGCCGUGAGGGCGGCGUGGGGCUGCGGCGGAGCCAUCUUCCUCGGCUUGGACGGCCGCGGCGGGCCUGGGCGUCUGCUGUCUUCUGCGACGGAUCUGCCGAUUCCUGCUCUCUCCGGUGAGCUGGACCUCGGGAUGGGUGGGGUGAGUGCGCUGGGCUUCUACGCACGAGGUGUGCGGCGGACUCGGCGUGAUGCAGGUGCAGCUCUCGCUGCCUCUUAGAUCGAGCUCUGCUCGCUCUCCCGAUUUGGAGGCUUCGCAUGGUGCGGCGGCCUCUGUUCCGUGGUCAGGCUGCGAGUGCUCUUGCUGGUGUGUUGGUUUGGCUAGUAGGCUGCAGGUUGAGGGUCGUGACACUGCCGGCGUAAAGCCGGGCUCCGGUUUCGGUUGGAGCCAACGACGGCGGUGCCUGUGGGCGCCGUAUCCUUGCUGAAGGCGUCGUGCUGCUGGUGUUCGUCUUCCCUCCUAAAUUGCUCCGGAGGAAACUUUGGAUCUUGGGUCUCCCGGAUCGGGCGAUGGUGGCGCUCAACGUCACACUCCCACUUGGGGCUUCGUCUUUGAGCUUGCCUUGGCUAGGGUGACCAGUGGCUUGAGGUGGUCCCGUUGGCGGUCCGUGUGGGCGUUAGCAGUGGAGAGGUGGUGCUCUGUCUUCGUGAUCUUGGCUCGGCCAUGCCUUUGGCCGUGUUGAGGUGUUUGUGUUGGCGGUUGGAUGGUGGUGGUGCGGCCGGGUUGGGGUCGACGGUGGUUUGAGCUCUUCUUCGGGGGUGUUCUUCUCGUGUUCUUGCUCCUGCACUCCUGAGUGUGUUCUCUGCUAGGUGAUGCCAAGCGACAGCGGCGGUGGCGCACAAGUGCCGUGGCGCUGUCUCGGCCUCGCGUGACCUUUCGAAUGUGCCCCACGGCACAGGUGGUGUCGCGGCGUUGUGCAGUCUCGGAUGCGCGGAGCCUUUCGAUUGCGUCGACGGUGCAGUGUCAUGGUCUUGUUUGCUUGGCGAUGCUGACUUCGUCUAUGGCACAUAGGCUCCAUGGCGUCGUCUCGGCCUCGCGUGACCUUUCGAAUGCACCCCCGGCACAGGUGGUGUUGUGGCGUUGUGCACUCUCGGAUGCGUGAAGCCUUUCGAUUGCGUCGAUGGUGCAGUGUCUUGGCUUGGUCAGCUGGCCAAUGCCGUUCGAUCACAUUGGUGGUGCUUUGUGUUGUGCUGGGAUGUGCCUUCCCUCUUUGUUCUCCCCUGUUUGUAUGUUUGGAGUAUUCUGUUUUUGCUUUAUCUCUUCUUUCGUGUCCCCCUGUAAUUCUGGUUCAUUUGAACCCAUCUUGCAAAAAGGCUGCAAAGCCUUAUAGGCAAAUGAAUAUAAUUCAGGUGGUGGAGGGGCUCCCCCUCCUCCCCCGGUGAAAAUUCAAAAAAAAAAAAAAGGAACACUUGGAGUUGGUCGAAACAGCGAUCAAGAAGAAGAAAGCUGUCGUGCAGACUAUCUGGAGACGCAAAAAUGAAUUUGAUGGUAGCACUGCCAGUACACAUGGAACAGCUUUUCUAAUUGGAACGGCCAGUUCGGAGAAAACCAAGGGUAGUGCUGGAUUCUACAUGUCCGUGGCACACAAUAUAGCUGGAGACCAGAAGGCAAAUGAAUAUAUCGUUAGAUUGCUAGGUGACGAGACGGAGUACGGUCUCGAGGUACUAUAUAAGCAUGUGCUGCACGACCUACUGCUGAUCAAGAUCGAGAGUGUGCCUCCAUGUGAUGAUGAAGUUUUGAAGUUCUGCAGUGUUCCAUUGAAGACAAAGGAUAAGGUGGUAGCAAUUGGCUAUGAACCUCUAAAUGUGCCGUCAAUUCAUGAUGCUACAGUGAUGUUUGAGCCAUCAAUCAUGACAGGCGUCAUAUCGUAAGUAGCAUGCACAUGAAACAAUAGGAUAUUCGGCCGUGUCUCGUGUUUGUUGAGCUGUGUAGGUGUAAUCUGUUUAAGGAUGAAGAGUCACACUAGAGCUAGUUUUCUUAUGUGCAGGUGUCCUCUGUUUAAGGAUAAAGAGUCACACAAGGACACAAACAAGGCUGCUUGUACAUGUGCAACGGUACAGGGCAAUUCUGGAUGCCCCAUACUACUAGUCAAUGGUGAAGUAGUUGGCGUGCUGACCCAAUAGAUGGAACUUCACGUGAAAUCAUUACUACCGAGACAAUGAGGAUAUUUUUACUAGAAUAUCUCCAGUUGAAGGACGAUCCUAAGCAUACCAUUGACUCUUUGGUGGAGACGCUGACUGCUAGGCAUAAACCACUAAGAAAAUCUGGGAGGAGGGCAGGCAGGAUCCGCUGACGCUAAGGAAUGCUGUGCCAGAAUGACUGAUCUCAUGAGCCAUUUUUUGUGGAAGUAUACUCCCCGAAUAUCUUCUUCUAUCAUCUCAUGUGUAUGCUAUGAUGAAAACACUAGCGCGCCCGUUUCUUUUGGCAAGAAAAUGGUGCCCUGUUUAUUAGACAUCUAACGAACCUGGUUCAGAGCGGGACGCUUUAUGAUUUAAUGAUGAGGUCUUUCAAUUUGUCAUCUUUGUUGAAAGUAAACGCAGGGCUGACAAAGAUGAG